GUCCGAAUUUCCGUUUUGGGCAAGUGCUCGUGAAAGAAAGCACGAUACACUCCAUCGCUGUCAACCGAAGAUCGACGGACGCAUAGAUUAGCCACUCUGUUUCGAACUUCAGGAUUUAUUUAACGAUUUGAUUGGAGCUCUCACUAUUAGAGAUUGCAUGUAAACAUUUCCAACGCUUGGAUUGUGUUCGGAGUGAUUGCGUUGGCUUCUGUUUAUGGAUUUUUGAUAUUCUUACUCGAUUAUGGAUUUGGUCUCUGGUUACAAGUUGAUCUCACUCUCUUAUCUGCAUCCGAAGUUUCAUGGAUUAUGAUGUUUAGGACAGUAAUUUGGUGCUUGUUUAUAGUUUUUUAUACGAUCUUUAGUAUUGUGGUUUAUCUGUGGGCUUUGUGCAGGGCGUGGUUGGGCUUGUUUUCGGCAAUGAGAAUUCUGCAUCCAAUAAAGAUAGCAAUGGUCAGCUUGCAGAGGACAGGAGAGCUGCUAUGGUGGAGCUGCAGUCUGUUGUAGUAGAAAAUCGUUCUGCCCAACUAGCUUUUGGUGCAAUGGGAUUUCCUGUGCUUAUGAGUGUUUUAAAGGAGGAACGAGAUGGUGUUGAAAUGGUUGCAGUUUAUCUGUUCUUUGCUUCCCUUUUAUUGAGGAAUUAAAUCUUGCUUUAGGACUUCUAGUUGUGCUUUCAUUCUGAAAAAAGUACAUGUUAUUGCCGUUUCAAGAAGUAUUGGAACAAUUAAAGAUAAUAUUACAUGGUUCUAGGGGCCCUUGCAACUCUUGUAAGUGCAUUAACUCCUCUCGAUCAUGCAAUGGGUCCAGGGAUAAAGUUCAAAUCUGAUGAACUCUGAUUUGGUUUCAAGGGAAUCAGACAGCAUCUCUCUUCUUUAAGUCUUUUGUCAGAAGAGGAUUUUUUAUGUUAGAUAUUAUGCUCUUCAACUGUUGACAGCUCUUCUUUCAAAUUCUCCCACGAGGUAUAUUUAUUUUGCGACUCUUUCGAAAUGCUUUUUACUAUUCUCAUUAGUUGAAUUGCUGAUUUUCCUCUUAGGAUUGCAGGAAGCGAUUUUCAGCAUUCCUCGCAGUAUAACUCGACUUAUGGACAUGCCUAUGGACCGCGAGGUAUACUUUGGCUAACUAAUAUAGAUAAGAACAGAAAAGUUAUAACACGGGACUCACUGAUCUCUGAGCAUAA